CGACGAUAAAAUAGAAAAGAAAAAAAAGGGUUUAAGAACUUCAGACCCAAUGUGGUGGAAGUAAAAACUAAAUGCAGGAAUCAAAUACCCAGAUCUUGUUCUUAUAUGUAUAUAAUAAUGGAGUUGAUUGAAGUUGAAAAAGAGAGAGGAGUAAUUCUGAAUAUGAAAUUAAGAACUUCUGGUGGAGUAGAGUGGAUGCAGGAGGGAAGAGGGGAGAGUAUCCAAAUAUGAAUAUCAAAUGCUUAAUUGAAUUGGUGAGUUUUGAAUCUCUCUGGAGCCGAACAAUUGGGAGUCCUGAAC